rnacentral:rRNA from 1 species
CAGGGAAUAUUGUCAGUGAACGAAAGUUUGACACAGCGACACCGCGUGUGGGAUGACGGAUCUAGGUUUGUAAACCACUUUCAGGAGGGAAGAAAAUACCGGUACCUCCACAAGAAGCCCCGGCCAACUACGUGCCAGCAGCCGCGGUAAUACGUAGGGGGCGAGCGUUGUCCGGAUUUAUUGGGCGUAAAGAGCUCGUAGGCGGUUCAACAAGUCGGUAGUAAAAGUUCAGGGCUCAACCCUGAAAUGUCUAUCGAUACUGUUAUGACUAGGAUACGGCAGAGGUGAGUGGAAUUCCGAGUGUAGCGGUGAAAUGCGUAGAUAUUCGGAGGAACACCAAUUGCGAAGGCAGCCCACUGGGCCGCUAUCGACGCUGAGGAGCGAAAGCUAGGGGAGCAAACAGGUUUAGAUGCCCUGGUAGUCCUAGCUGUAAACGAUGGAUACUAGACGUAGGAACUGGAUUGACGGUUUCUGUGUCGUAGCUAACGCGUUAAGUAUCCCGCCUGGGGAGUACGGUCACAAGACUA